rfam:Corynebacterium sphenisci DSM 44792, complete genome.
CGUGAGCUCCGCCCCGAUGUGCGAGGGAAUCCGCGGCGCCGCACGUUAAACGGUCAUCCCUCGCACCGCUUGACCUGGUUCUUGCGGCCCAAACACGGGAGAGAACGCUGAGCGUUACAAC